rnacentral:rRNA from 1 species
GGCGCACGGGUGAGUAACACGUGACUAACCUACCCUGGAGUGGGGGAUAACUGAGGGAAACCUUAGCUAAUACCGCAUAACACCUACGGGUCAAAGGAGCAAUUCGCUUCAGGAGAGGGUCGCGGCCGAUUAGUUAGUUGGCGGGGUAAUGGCCCACCAAGACAGUGAUCGGUAUCCGGCCUGAGAGGGCGCACGGACACACUGGAACUGAAACACGGUCCAGACUCCUACGGGAGGCAGCAGUGGGGAAUUUUGCGCAAUGGGGGAAACCCUGACGCAGCAACGCCGCGUGGAGGAUGAAGUCCUUCGGGACGUAAACUCCUUUCGAUCGGGACGAUUAUGACGGUACCGGAAGAAGAAGCCCCGGCUAACUUCGUGCCAGCAGCCGCGGUAAUACGAGGGGGGCGAGCGUUGUUCGGAAUUAUUGGGCGUAAAGGGUGCGUAGGCGGUUUUGUAAGUCUUAUGUGAAAUCUAUGGGCUCAACUCAUAGACUGCAUGAGAAACUGCAGGGCUUGAGUAUGGGAGAGGUGAGUGGAAUUCCUGGUGUAGCGGUGAAAUGCGUAGAUAUCAGGAGGAACACCUGUGGCGAAAGCGGCUCACUGGACCAUAACUGACGCUGAUGCACGAAAGCUAGGGGAGCAAACAGGAUUAGAUACCCUGGUAGUCCUAGCCCUAAACGAUGACUGCUUGGUGUGACGGGUACCCAAUCCCGCCGUGCCGUAGCUAACGCGUUAAGCAGUCCGCCUGGGGAGUACGGUCGCAAGGCUGAAACUCAAAGGAAUUGACGGGGGCCCGCACAAGCGGUGGAGCAUGUGGUUUAAUUCGA